rnacentral:rRNA from 1 species
AACGAACGCUGGCGGCAUGCCUAACACAUGCAAGUCGAACGAAACCUUCGGGUCUAGUGGCGCACGGGUGCGUCACGCGUGGGAACCUGCCCUUAGGUUCGGAAUAACUCCCCGAAAGGGGUGCUAAUACCGGAUAAUGUCUUCGGACCAAAGAUUUAUCGCCUUUGGAGGUGCCCGCGUUGGAUUAGCUAGUUGGUAGGGUAAAAGCCUACCAAGGCGACGAUCCAUAGCUGGUCUGAGAGGAUGAUCAGCCACACUGGGACUGAGACACGGCCCAGACUCCUACGGGAGGCAGCAGUGGGGAAUAGUGGACAAUGGGCGAAAGCCUGAUCCAGCAAUGCCGGGUGAGUGAUGAAGGCAGUAGGGUUGUAAAGCUCUUUUACCCGGGAUGAUAAUGACAGUACCGGGAGAAUAAGCCCCGGCUAACUCCGUG